AUUGAACGCUGGCGGCAUGCCUUACACAUGCAAGUCGAACGGCAGCACGGGUGCUUGCACCUGGUGGCGAGUGGCGAACGGGUGAGUAAUACAUCGGAACAUGUCCUGUAGUGGGGGAUAGCCCGGCGAAAGCCGGAUUAAUACCGCAUACGAUCUACGGAUGAAAGCGGGGGACCUUCGGGCCUCGCGCUAUCGGGUUGGCCGAUGGCUGAUUAGCUAGUUGGUGGGGUAAAGGCCUACCAAGGCGACGAUCAGUAGCUGGUCUGAGAGGACGACCAGCCACACUGGGACUGAGACACGGCCCAGACUCCUACGGGAGGCAGCAGUGGGGAAUUUUGGACAAUGGGCGAAAGCUUGAUCCAGCAAUGCCGCGUGUGUGAAGAAGGCCUUCGGGUUGUAAAGCACUUUUGUCCGGAAAGAAAUCCUUGGCCCUAAUACGGUCGGGGGAUGACGGUACCGGAAGAAUAAGCACCGGCUAACUACGUG
rnacentral:rRNA from 1 species